GGCCUCAGUCAUGUUCCAUUAACUUUGUCCUCAACUGUUUACUCUAUCUCUGGAUCUAGAUUCUACUACAUUCUACAAUAAGUGGGAAAAGGGAAAUCCUGCUGACUUUUUCAAUUCACACAUUCUUCCUCCUUUACGAUACAAAUGUACACAAGUUUAAUUGAUCCAGUAGGGCAGAUGAAGCUUUUACUGUUCUUCACUUCUAUC
ensembl:ncRNA C34H3.15 ncRNA